rnacentral:misc_RNA from 1 species
AUUUCUCAAACCUUCUCGGUUUCUUGAUCAAGAAGGCUUUGGACUUGGAGGUCUUUGCCGGCUUUGCGAAAAGUCGGCUCCUCUUAAACGCAUUAGUGGGGUCCCCUUUGCCGAUCUCUAGGCGUUGAUAAUACGCUUCUACGUCUUGGGAUUUUCUCUGUUCUUUGGGAACCCGCUUCUAACCGUCUCGAUCGGAGACAUCGUUCGAGCUUGCUCGACCCACGAA